CGGGACACGUGGUAUCCUGUCUGAAUAUGGGGGGACCAUCCUCCAAGGCUAAAUACUCCUGACUGACCGAUAGUGAACCAGUACCGUGAGGGAAAGGCGAAAAGAACCCCGGCGAGGGGAGUGAAAAAGAACCUGAAACCGUGUACGUACAAGCAGUGGGAGCACGCUUAGGCGUGUGACUGCGUACCUUUUGUAUAAUGGGUCAGCGACUUAUAUUCUGUAGCAAGGUUAACCGAAUAGGGGAGCCGAAGGGAAACCGAGUCUUAACUGGGCGUUAAGUUGCAGGGUAUAGACCCGAAACCCGGUGAUCUAGCCAUGGGCAGGUUGAAGGUUGGGUAACACUAACUGGAGGACCGAACCGACUAAUGUUGAAAAAUUAGCGGAUGACUUGUGGCUGGGGGUGAAAGGCCAAUCAAACCGGGAGAUAGCUGGUUCUCCCCGAAAGCUAUUUAGGUAGCGCCUCGUGAAUUCAUCUCCGGGGGUAGAGCACUGUUUCGGCAAGGGGGUCAUCCCGACUUACCAACCCGAUGCAAACUGCGAAUACCGGAGAAUGUUAUCACGGGAGACACACGGCGGGUGCUAACGUCCGUCGUGAAGAGGGAAACAACCCAGACCGCCAGCUAAGGUCCCAAAGUCAUGGUUAAGUGGGAAACGAUGUGGGAAGGCCCAGACAGCCAGGAUGUUGGCUUAGAAGCAGCCAUCAUUUAAAGAAAGCGUAAUAGCUCACUGGUCGAGUCGGCCUGCGCGGAAGAUGUAACGGGGCUAAACCAUGCACCGAAGCUGCGGCAGCGACGCUGAUGCGUUGUUGGGUAGGGGAGCGUUCUGUAAGCCUGUGAAGGUGUGCUGUGAGGCAUGCUGGAGGUAUCAGAAGUGCGAAUGCUGACAUAAGUAACGAUAAAGCGGGUGAAAAGCCCGCUCGCCGGAAGACCAAGGGUUCCUGUCCAACGUUAAUCGGGGCAGGGUGAGUCGACCCCUAAGGCGAGGCCGAAAGGCGUAG
rnacentral:rRNA from 1 species